rnacentral:rRNA from 1 species
AGGACGAACGCUGGCGGCGCGCUUAACACAUGCAAGUCGAGCGAGAACCGGGGCUUCGGCCCCGGGGACAGCGGCGAACGGGUGAGUAACACGUGGGUAAUCAACCCUCGGCACCGGGAUAGCCCGAGGAAACUCGGAUUAAUACCGGAUGGCCCCUCCGACUCUCGAGUCGGUCGGGAAAGGUAGCUUAGGCCUCUGGCCGGGGACGAGCCCGCGGCGGAUUAGCUUGUUGGUGGGGUAAUGGCCUACCAAGGCGACGAUCCGUAGCUGGUCUGAGAGGACGAUCAGCCACACUGGGACUGAGACACGGCCCAGACUCCUACGGGAGGCAGCAGUGGGGAAUCUUGCCCAAAUGGGCGAAAAGCCUGAGGCAGCGACGCCGCGUGAGGGAAGAAGGCCUGGUGUAACGUACUUCUAGAGGACGAAGAGACUCGGUAGUAGACCACGAGGAGACGGUACCGUACCACGAAGAAAGACCCGGACGUAACCUACGUA